rnacentral:rRNA from 1 species
UUAAGGGCAUAUGGUGGAUGUCUUGGCGUUGAGAGGCGAUGAAGGACGUAGGAACUUGCGAUAAGUCUUAGGGAGCUGGUAACCAAGCAAUGAUCUAAGAAUCUCCGAAUAGGGAAACCUAAUCUGUUCUGCAGAUUACCCAUACCCGAAUGCAUACGGUAUGGGGGCGAACGCAGCGAACUGAAACAUCUCAGUAGCUGUAGGAAAGGAAAGCAAAAGCGACUCCGUAAGUAGCGGCGAGCGAAAGCGGAUCAGCCCGGUGUGAAUAUAUAUUUGUCAUACUUUGAAGUGUCUGGAAAGGCACACCACAGAAGGUGAUAGUCCUGUACGGGAACAGCAAAUAUGUAGAAGCAUCUUUACGAGUAGCACGGAGCUCGUGAAACUCUGUGUGAAUAUAGCGGGGUCCACCCCGUAAGGCUAAGUACUCCUCAACGACCGAUAGUGAAUCAGUAAGGUGACUGAAUGAUGAAAAGCACCCCGAUAAGGGGCGUGAAAAGUACCUGAAACCAUAUGCUUACAAGCUGUAGGAGCACCCUCGUGGUGUGACUGCGUGCCUUUUGCAUAAUGAUCCUACGAGUUGUUCUCUGUAGCAAGGCUAAGUUGAAUCCCAACGGAGCCGAAGGGAAACCGAGUCUAAAUAGGGCGACAUAGUUGCAGGGAGCAGACGCGAAACCUGGUGAUCUACCCAUGGGCAGGUUGAAGAAGGGGUAAAACCCUUUGGAGGACCGAACACACCUACGUUGAAAAGUGGGGUGAUGACCUGUGGGGAGGAGUAAAAGUCUUAUCAAACCAGGAGAUAUCUCGUUCUCUCCGAAAUAGCUUUAGGGCUAGCCUCGAGUUAUAUUGUUUGGGGGUAGAGCUACUGGAUGGAGAUGGGGGCCCACAAGGCUACCCACUCCAACCAAACUCCGAAUACCAAACAACUCUAUCUCGGGAGUCAGUCCGUGGGAGAUAAUUUCCACGGUCGAAAGGGAAACAGCCCAGACCGUCAGUUAAGGUCCCUAAUCAAACCUAAGUUUGUUAAGGUAGUUAAAUUNCAGUGACAGCCAGGAUGUUGGCUUAGAAGCAGCCACCAUUUAAAGAGUGCGUAACAGCUCACUGGUCGAGGAAUUUAGCGCCGAUAAUGAUCGGGAAUUAAGGUUUGUACCGAAACUGCGGAAUGAAUUUAUUCAUUGGUAGGAGAGCGUUGCUGUCAGCGUUGAAGGUGUCCCGGAAGGGUAUCUGGAGCGGCAGCAAGUGAAUAUGUAGGAUUGAGUAACGAUAAAUGGAGUGAGAAUCUCCAUCGCCGAAAACCUAAGGUUUCCUGGGGAAGGUAAAUCCGCCCAGGGUUAGGCGGGACCUAAGGCGAGGCCGAAAGGCGUAGUCGAUGGACAGCAGGUUAAUAUUCCUGCCCCAUCAUGUGAGGUUGAACCAUCGGUGCGGAUCUUGAAGUUCAGCGGGACAGUGAAGCGUCCAGGCCCUUGAGGCCGUUGCUGGGUGGAUAGGUUCCAAGAAAAGCCGUAUGGGGACGAUCAUGAUGCCCGUACUAAAACUGACACAGGUAGGUGUGGCGAAUAGCCUCAGGCGCUCGAGAAAACGGUUGUGAAGGAACUAGGCAAAUUGACCCUGUAAGUUCGCGAUAAAGGGGCCCUAUCCAUUUGGAAGGGCGCAGAGAAUAGGCUCUGGCGACUGUUUAUCAAAAACACAGCACUGUGCUAACACGCAAGUGGACGUAUACAGUGUGACUCCUGCUCGGUGCCGGAAUGUUAAGGAAGUAGGUUAGCUCACGCGAAGCUUAUGACCGAAGCACCGGUAAACAGCGGCCGUAACUAUGACGGUCCUAAGGUAGCGAAGUUCCUUGUCGGGUAAGUUCCGACGUGCAUGAAUGGAGUAACGACUGGAGCACUGUCUCCACAACCGACUCGGUGAAAUAGUAGUGGCGGUGAAGAUGCCGCCUACCCGCAGCAAGACGGAAAGACCCCGUGGACCUUUACUGCAGGCAUAUAUUGGUCANGGACCUGUAUUGCGUAGGAUAGGUGGGAGGCUUUGAAGCUGAGUUUUCGGACUUGGUGGAGCCAUUCUUGAAAUACCACCCUGUGCUAGUUUGUGGCCUAACCCCGAUUCCCAUGAAGCUGGGCGGGGGACCAUGUAUGCUGGGCGGUUUGACUGGGGCGGUCUCCUCCCAAAAGGUAACGGAGGAGCGCAAUGGUUGGUUCAGCGCGGAUGGAAACCGCGUGUUGAAUGUAAGAGUACAAGCCAGCUUUACUGUGAGUCAUACAGGACAAACAGUCUCGAAAGAGGGCUCUAGUGAUCCUGCAAUCCCGUGUGGAAGGGUUGUAGCUCAACGGAUAAAAGGUACCCCGGGGAUAACAGGCUUAUCGCUCCCGAGCGUCCAUAGCGGCGGAGCGGUUUGGCACCUCGAUGUCGGCUCAUCGCAUCCUGGGGCUGAAGGUGGUCCCAAGGGUUGGGCUGUUCGCCCAUUAAAGCGGUACGCGAGCUGGGUUCAGACCGGCGUGA